UGAUUUAAAGUAGGGGGCUCUGAAAGU
rnacentral:sRNA from 1 species